AAUGUCUCUCCGGCCCCUCUGAAUCCAUCCUUAAAGACUAAACCCUCCAUAAGCCUCCUCUCUCUCUUUCUUCCAGGAGACAGGUGACAAGGGGGAUAGAUACACAACGAUACUCCGCAGCGCAGGAGGAGGACACAUCCUUGAUUUCUGCCAUCGGAGGAGCUCCUGCCUCGGAGAUACACGAAGCUGCUACAUCUUCUUCCAGCUCAAUCGUAUCGACGCUUGCAUCUCUUUUGCUCAGAGUGAUCGUCGUUUUUCACAGCUUGGUAAGAUCACUUCACUCUUCUCCCUAGCUUCGGUAUUGAUCGAUCUUCCUCUCGCUGUGCCUGCAGCAAAUGUCUUUAAGCUCAUGUAAUCCGUGCCAUCUAUCACCUGUGUGUUCAUACUGUGUCACUAUCAGUAAGCCGGAUGCAUGUUAGGCUGUUGACCUGUUGUUAGCUGCACCGGCUAACUGUAGUGAGCAGUGACCUUAAUUUCUUUUGCACUACAUAGACUGCUUGUUCUUUUCUUCUUGAGAGAGAGAGAGAGAGAGAGAGAGAGGGAGGGAGGGAGGGCCAUAGCAUAAGCCAUGGAGGAGGAGGUGGAGUAUGGAGUAUGCAUGGUGUUCGUCCGUACGUACGUGUCAGCGAGCGAGAGCCUCGGUUGGCGCACGUCGUCCUUUCUGUAUAGCUGGCUCCUGGUUGUGUUUGAUCGAUCGUCUAGCUAACGUCGGAGACCAGAUUAAUUAGACAUGACCUGACGUGCUUAAUUAAGCUCUCCAGAAAUGAUUAAUUAGCUACCAAGUGGUCGUUGUGGCUGUGCUGCUGCUGCCGCUGCUGAUUGCGUCGCGACGAGGGUACUGAUGCUAGCGUCGCCAUGGUUAAAACUUAACUACGCUUAAAUUGCAGCCUGAUAAAAGAUCGAUACUACGGGUCAGGUGGCAGCUAUCCGUCAGGGUUUCAGUCUGAAGCGGUUUAGGUGAAGAGCUGGAGAAGGAGUAAAUGCAUGUGUGUGUUGCUGAUGAGAAUGAGAUCGCUCGGCUGCCGGUGCUUGGAAAACCACCCGCCCGGCCGACGCGUGCAUGCCGCUGCUAGUUGACAAAUUCCUCAAUCACACGCCCCCCGCCACCACCACCACCACCACCAGCAUGCAUGCAUCACCAAAACAGACGAGCGUUUUGUCCUUUUUUUCCAGAGCUUUUGUUCCACACCUCUCCCAUUUCUUCAGAUAGGAAAAAUUUAAAGAAAUAUAAGCUGGUGCAUGUAUAUCCUAAGUGGUGUUUGGUUGGAGGGACUAAAGUAGGGCUAAACUUUAACCCCUUUCUCGAAAACAUAAGUUAUAGGGGCUAAAGUUUAGCCCAUCUCUCCCAAACACCCCCCUAGUACUGCAGUACAUGGUUCAUGCAGGCUCAAAGUGAG
rnacentral:sRNA from 1 species